GACGAACGCUGGCGGCGUGCUUAACACAUGCAAGUCGAACGGAAAGGCCCUGCUUUUGUGGGGUGCUCGAGUGGCGAACGGGUGAGUAACACGUGAGUAACCUGCCCUUGACUUUGGGAUGGCUUCAGGAAACUGGGGCUAAUACCGGAUAGGAGCUCCUGCUGCAUGGUGGGGGUUGGAAAGUUUCGGCGGUUGGGGAUGGACUCGCGGCUUAUCAGCUUGUUGGUGGGGUAGUGGCUUACCAAGGCUUUGACGGGUAGCCGGCCUGAGAGGGUGACCGGCCACAUUGGGACUGAGAUACGGCCCAGACUCCUACGGGAGGCAGCAGUGGGGAAUAUUGCACAAUGGGCGGAAGCCUGAUGCAGCAACGCCGCGUGCGGGAUGACGGCCUUCGGGUUGUAAACCGCUUUCGCCUGUGACGAAGCGUGAGUGACGGUAAUGGGUAAAGAAGCACCGGCUAACUACGUG
rnacentral:rRNA from 1 species